GAUGAACGCUGGCGGCGUGCCUAAUACAUGCAAGUCGAGCGAACAGAUAAGGAGCUUGCUCCUUUGACGUUAGCGGCGGACGGGUGAGUAACACGUGGGUAACCUAACUAUAAGACUGGGAUAACUUCGGGAAACCGGAGCUAAUACCGGAUAACAUUUGGAACCGCAUGGUUCUAAAGUGAAAGAUGGUUUUGCUAUCACUUAUAGAUGGACCCGCGCCGUAUUAGCUAGUUGGUAAGGUAACGGCUUACCAAGGCGACGAUACGUAGCCGACCUGAGAGGGUGAUCGGCCACACUGUAACUGAGACACGGUCCAGACUCCUACGGGAGGCAGCAGUAGGGAAUCUUCCGCAAUGGGCGAAAGCCUGACGGAGCAACGCCGCGUGAGUGAUGAAGGGUUUCGGCUCGUAAAACUCUGUUAUUAGGGAAGAACAAAUGUGUAAGUAACUGUGCACGUCUUGACGGUACCUAAUCAGAAAGCCACGGCUAACUACGUG
rnacentral:rRNA from 1 species